rnacentral:rRNA from 1 species
AACGAACGCUGGCGGCAUGCCUAACACAUGCAAGUCGAACGAGACCUUCGGGUCUAGUGGCGCACGGGUGCGUAACGCGUGGGAACCUGCCCUUAGGUUCGGAAUAACUCCCCGAAAGGGGUGCUAAUACCGGAUAAUGUCUUCGGACCAAAGAUUUAUCGCCUUUGGAUGGGCCCGCGUUGGAUUAGCUAGUUGGUAGGGUAAAAGCCUACCAAGGCGACGAUCCAUAGCUGGUCUGAGAGGAUGAUCAGCCACACUGGGACUGAGACACGGCCCAGACUCCUACGGGAGGCAGCAGUGGGGAAUAUUGGACAAUGGGCGAAAGCCUGAUCCAGCAAUGCCGCGUGAGUGAUGAAGGCCUUAGGGUUGUAAAGCUCUUUUACCCGGGAUGAUAAUGACAGUACCGGGAGAAUAAGGUCCGGCUAACUCCGU